rnacentral:rRNA from 1 species
UACGAAGGGGGCGAGCGUUGUUCGGAUUUACUGGGCGUAAAGGGCGCGUAGGCGGCCCUCCUAGUCGCGUGUGAAAGCCCCGGGCUCAACCUGGGAAUUGCGCGCGAAACGGGGGGGCUUGAGUUCGGGAGAGGAGCGUGGAAUUCCCAGUGUAGAGGUGAAAUUCGUAGAUAUUGGGAAGAACACCGGUGGCGAAGGCGGCGCUCUGGACCGAGACUGACGCUGAGGCGCGAAAGCUAGGGGAGCAAACAGG